AGAGUCCUGAGAUGUACGUUGCGUUGCCUGAAGUUUUGACCGAACAUUAAUUAUCCGGGAGUCUAGAGUUUCCUGAUUGCGUAAAUGCCCCACUCUUACACGGGUAAGGGGACUUACAAUUUCGGGAACAGGGCACCCCCCUGCUGAAUGCGGGAUCAAAACUAAGGAUGUUAAAAGUGACGGCAUAAUUGGGACUCUU
rnacentral:other from 1 species